rnacentral:rRNA from 1 species
CCUACGGGAGGCAGCAGUGAGGAAUAUUGGUCAAUGGGCGGAAGCCUGAACCAGCCAAGUCGCGUGAGGGAGUAAGGCCCUACGGGUCGUAAACCUCUUUUGCCGGGGAGCAGUGCCCAGCUCGUGAGCUGGGAGGGAGCGUACCCGGAGAAAAAGCAUCGGCGAACUCCGUGCCAGCAGCCGCGGUAAUACGGAGGAUGCGAGCGUUAUCCGGAUUUAUUGGGUUUAAAGGGUUCGUAGGCGGGUCUUCAGGCCAGCGGUGAAAUUGGGGGGCUCAAACCCUACGAUGCAGUUGAAACCGGCAGUCUUGAGUACAGGAGAGGUGGGCGGAAUGCGUGGUGUAGCGGUGAAAUGCUUAGAUAUCACGCAGAACUCCGAUUGCGAAGGCAGCGCACUGGACGGUAACUGACGCUGAGGCACGAAAGUGUGGGUAUCAAACAGGAUUAGAUACCCGAGUAGUC